rnacentral:tRNA from 1 species
GCCGGGGUCGCCUAGCCUGGAAGGGCGCAAGCCUGGAAAUGUAGACCACAAAGCUUGUGGCCCGUGAGGGCCUCGAGGGUUCAAAUCCCUCUCCCGGCG